rnacentral:rRNA from 1 species
AGCAUAAAAGCAGAAUUACCUUUCACCGGGAUUGAUGUAGAGGAUGAACUGUGAACGACCUUCCGGUCUGCUUUUGUAUUCCUAAGCCUCUCCUUGACGUUGAGUGGGCAACAAUCACCAAAGAGAACUCAAUCUGCAGAUCCCUCACAACUCACGUAUUGCGGCAUGAAUAAUUAGGUUACGGGCUGCUGAGUUUGGCUAUUAAAAGGCUACAACAGGGACCAGGAAGAGAAAUUAGGGUUUGGGCCUCCCAUUGGACUUAAGCAUCAAAGUUUAGCCCAAAACGUAUACUUAGGUCCAAUAAUAAUAAAUCAGUCCACUAAAGAAAUAUUAUUGAACUGUCACCCUAAUCUUAAAUUACAUUAUGGGCUCCUUCUUAUUAUGAGCUUGUUAAUCUCCCCAUGUUUAAGAUUCAAUGCCCAUUAAUUAAUUAAGUUAUUGACAACUCUAUUAAUUAAUAUAUGGACCGAGAGUAGUACCACUCAACCUUAUUAUCAUGUCAGAAUAAAUCCACUGCAGGGUUUACAUGAUAAUCAUUAUGAGUUUCUCAAGGGGACAUCAUCAACCAGUUCUGUUAGGACACAGAUUCUUUCUACAAUCAACAACACACCAUAGAGAUAAUAUUAUCUCCCGACUCACCAAGCACAUUACCACUCAACCUUGUUAUUAUGCCGGAAUAAAUCCACCUGCAGGGUUUACAUGAUAAUCCUUAUAAGCUGCUCAAGGAGACAUCAUCAGCCUAUUUAAUAGGACACAUAUUCCUUCUACAAUCAAAAGCACACCAUAGAGACAACAUUAUCUCCCGACUCACCAAGCAUAUUGAUUUAAUAAUUAAAUCUUACCCAUUGAUGAAUCAAGAAAAUAAAUACUGGCUUACGUGUUGAGGUUAUUGUAUAGGGAUUAAGAGUACGAACUUUCAUAAUAACAGAGAUCAAGUUGUAUUAUAUAGUCAGUAUAAAAUGGAUGGCGCAGAAGCACUGAAGCGCGCGACCUAUACCCGGCCGUCGGGGCAAGGGCCAUGCCUUUAUGAGUAGGAGGGCACGGCGGUCGCUGGAAAAACCUGGGCACGAGCCCGGGCACGAGCGGCCAUCGGUGCGGAUCUUGGUGGUAGUAACAAAUAUUUAAAUGAGAACUUUGAAGGCCGAAUAGGGGAAAGGUUCCAUGUGAACGGCACUUGCACAAGGGUUAGUCGAUCCUUAGGGUCGGGGGAAGCCCGACAGACAGCGCAUUCAGCGCGUGCUCCGAAAGGGAAUCGAGUUAAAAUUCCCGAACUAGGAUGCGGCGGUAAACGGCAACAUUAGGGAGUCCGGAGAUGUCAGCAGGGGCCUCGGGAAGAGUUAUCUUUUCUGUUUAACAGCCUGCCCAUCUUGGAAAUGGCUCAGCCGGAGGUAGGGUCAAGAGGCUGGAAGAGCACCACACAUCGCGUGGUGUUCGGUGCACCCUCUGUGGCCCUUGAAAAUCCGGAGGACCGAGUAUCGUCCAUGCCCGAUCGUACUCAUAACUGCAUCAGGUCUCCAAGGUGAUCAGCCUCUGGUCGAUGGAACAAUGUAGGUAAGAGAAGUCGGCAAAAUGGAUCCGUAACCUCAGGAAAAGGAUUGGCUCUGAGGGCUGGGCACGGGGUCCCAGUCCCGAACCCAUCGACUGUCGGUGAACUGCUCGAGCUGCUCAUGUAGCGAGAGUGGAUCGUCGCGUGCUGGCCGGAGGAGGGACUGGGAACGGCUCCCUCGGGGGCCUUCCCCGGGCGUCAAACAGUCGACUCAGAACUGGUACAGACAAGGGGAAUCCAAUUGUUUAAUUAAAACAAAGCAUUACGAUGGUCCCUGCGGAUGCUCACGCAAUGUGAUUUCUACCCAGUGCUCUGAAUGUCAAAGUGAAGAAAUUCAACCAAGAGCGGGUAAAUGGCGGGAGUAACUAUGACUCUCUUAAGGUAGCCAAAUUCCUCGUCAUCUAAAUAGUGACGCGCAUGAAUGGAUUAACGAGAUUCCCACUGUUCCUGUGUACUAUCCAGUGAAACCACUGCCAAGGGAACGGGCUUGGCGGAAUCAUCGGGGAAAGAAGACCCUGUUGAGCGGUGUAGCAUAAGUGGGAGUCGAAAGGCAAAAGUGAAAUACCACUACUUUUAGCAUUAUUUUACUUAUUCUGUGAAUUAGAGGCGGGGCAUCGCCCCUCUUUUUGGACCCAAGGCUCGCCCCGGUGGGCCGAUCCGGGUGGAAGACAUUGUCAGGUAGGGAGUUUGGUUGGGGCGACACAUCUAUUAAAAGAUAACGCAGGUGUCCUAAGAUGAGCUAAACGAGAACAGAAAUCUCGUGUGGAACAGAAGGGUAAAAGCUCGUUUGAUUUUAAUUUCCAAUACGAAUACGAAUCAUGAAAACAUGGCCUAACGAUCCUUUAGACCUUCGAAAAUUGAAGCUAGAGGUGUCAGAAAAGUUACCACAUGGAUAACUGGCUUGUGUCAGCCAAGCGUUCAUAGCGAUGUUGCUUUUUGAUCCUUCAAUAUCGGCUCUUCCUCAUUGUGAAGCAGAAUUCACCAAGUGUUGGAUUGUUCACCCACCAAUAAGGAACGUGAGCUGGGAUUAGACCAUCAUGAGAUAGGUUAGUUUUACCCUACUGAUGAUGGUGUCGCAAUAGUAAUUCAACCUAGUACAAGAGGAACCGUUGAUUCGCACAAUUGGUCAUCGCGCUCAGUUGAAAAGCCAGUGGCGCGAAGCUACCGCGCGCUGGAUUAUGAUUGAACACCUCUAAGUCAACAUCCAAGCUAGACGCGAUGCAUGCGCCCGCCGUCCGCUCCCUGACCUGCAGUAGGGUCCCCCAGGCCCCAAAGGCACAUGUCGUUGGCUAAGUCCCGCGGCGGACGAGCCUCGUGGGCCACCUCAAAGUACAAUUCCAAUCCAGCAGUGGGUAGAAUCCUUUGCAAACGACUUAAAUACGCGACCAGGUAUUGUAAGCGGUACAGUGGCCUUGCUGCCAUGAUUCACUUUGAUUC